UACGAAGGGGGCUAGCGUUGCUCGGAAUCACUGGGUGUAAAGGGUGCGUAGGCGGGUCUUUAAGUCAGGGGUGAAAUCCUGGAGCUCAACUCCAGAACUGCCUUUGAUACUGAAGAUCUUGAGUUCGGGAGAGGUGAGUGGAACUGCGAGUGUAGAGGUGAAAUUCGUAGAUAUUCGCAAGAACACCAGUGGCGAAGGCGGCUCACUGGCCCGAUACUGACGCUGAGGCGCGAAAGCGUGGGGAGCAAACAGGG
rnacentral:rRNA from 1 species